UUCUCCAACCAAAAUACUGAAGGAGACAAAAGGAAUAAAAUUUGUAUUUAUGGUGACAAUAAUAGGAAAUGAAAGAUCACUCAAUUUUUUUACUAGAAUUGCUAAAAUUGUGAGAUUUACAGCCUAGCCUGUUUUGGGUGUGUCUUUCAUACUUCCAACCAAGAUUCUAUAAAGAAACAUCUAUAUACUUGGUACUAUUAGGAGCAAAAACAUAAGAUGAACUAGGACCAAAUUUCAAGUU
rnacentral:lncRNA from 1 species